UGCAGCCUUUGGGAGAUAAUUGGGUCAUGAGUGUGGAGCUCUCGUGAAUGAGAUUAGUGCCCUUAGAAGAAGAGACAGGAGAGCUUGCUCUGGCUUUCUGCUCUCUACCAGGUGAGGACCAGCUGGCUGUCUAUGAAGCAGGUAGCAGGCUCCCACCAGACACCGAAUCUACCAGCCCCUUGAUCUUGAACUUCUCAGCCUCCAGAACUACUCUACUAUUCCCUCAGUACGUCAAAUAGGCAAGAAACAGAAUUGCAGCCAGUGGUGAGCAGGGAGCAGAGCCCAUCAGUCUGCUGCGCCAUGCCAAAUCACCUUCAGGGUCAGCGUUUCAACCACCAAGGCAGCUCCAUCAGUAUUAGAAAACAUUUCCGUUUCUGAAAGAAUUCUGCAACUAAAUAGCUACAUAAAGGUUCGUAAACCACUGAAGCACACGUCAUGAG